rnacentral:rRNA from 1 species
GUGAGGAAUAUUGCGCAAUGGAGGCAACUCUGACGCAGCCAUGCCGCGUGCAGGAAGAAGGCGCUACGCGUUGUAAACUGCUUUUAACCGGGAAGAAACCCCAGGACGUGUCCUGGGUUGACGGUACCGGAGGAAUAAGCACCGGCUAACUUCGUGCCAGCAGCCGCGGUAAUACGAAGGGUGCAAGCGUUAUCCGGAUUCAUUGGGUUUAAAGGGUGCGUAGGCGGAGCGUUAAGUCAGUGGUGAAAUCCUGCAGCUUAACUGUAGACUUGCCAUUGAUACUGGCGCUCUUGAGUGCGCUUGAAGUGGGCGGAAUGUGCCGUGUAGCGGUGAAAUGCUUAGAUAUGGCACAGAACACCAAUUGCGAAGGCAGCUAACUAAGGCGAUACUGACGCUGAGGCACGAAAGCGUGGGGAUCGAACAGGAUUAGAAACCCUUGUAGUCC